rnacentral:lncRNA from 1 species
GCGUCGUCCAUGAGAACAGCAUGGGAAAUCCGUCAGCGGUUCUGGAUGGACAUUAGGUUUCAGCCGACCUGUGACCAAUGUCGCAAGCGAACUACCCCAGACCGACAGGACUGUCUUGCUGUAAGUGGACAGAACCCUGGUCAGAUAUAUCUAGGAAGGUGGUCUGAGCUCUAGUUGGGUGAUUUGGCGUCUGGGGUAUCUGAAGCUGGAUAGAUUUAUGACAUUUCAGCUGCAUUAUUCACUCCUUAACAAAGUUUUUAACCCUGACGAACACCAUUAUUGAGGUACAAGGACCUUUAUGGUGACAUGUGGGGAUCCGAUAUCAUGUACCCCUCCGUGAUAGUCCUGAGGGGAACAUGUAAUCAUACUGAGUCAAGUGCUUCAUAUUGGUUGUUUCCGAGCUGGGGUUAAAUUCUCUUGUGACUGGAUGGUUGGGUGCAGCUGAACUAGGGUAAAUCUAUUUUUGCAACAGUACCUCUUGCGUCGGAAAGUCUGACUAGGGUAAAGGUCAUCUGGUCCAGAAUAUCUGACUGACGGACUAUCACGGCCUGCCAGCCCCCGGAGGAGGAGGAGGCGCCGUCCACGGCGCAGAGGUCGUCGCCAUCCCGAUCUCUCCCGGAGGAGGCGCCGUCCAAGGCGCAGAGAUCGUCGCCCUCCCGAUCUCUCCCGGAGGAGGCGCCGUCCACGGCGCAGAGAUCGUCGCCCUCCCGAUCUCUCCUGGAGGAGGCGCCGUCCAAGGCGCAGAGAUCGACGCCGUCAUCCCGAUCUCUCUCCAUAUGCCCCCGGUCCAUAAGAGGACACGGGGGACGUGCCUGGAGGUGGCACUGAGACACUGCCAUGUUUCUUGAUGGUUUGACUUUCUUCACACUGAGCCACAGUGUGGAGGCAGUCAAAAGGGCCGUGCUAAGGGCCCAAGGGUGUGACAUAGUGGCAGGUCUGUGUCGCCGUAGAGCGGGGAAAUUCCGUUAGGCAAGUACGAUGUUGGGUUCCAAGACUGGACGCAUUCGAAGCAUUAGUGCCUUUUCCUGAAGGAGAUUGUCCAACGUCUCGGACAGUCACCUGGUCAGGGUUUUCGAAUGCGUGGAGUCUAACUCUAGAUGGAUGACUUAGCAACGGAAAUAUUUGGAACUCAGUUGGUUUAGUCAUUUCUCAACUUCGAACUGUCACUUCUUUGACAAUGCAUUUAAUUCCAAAUACAGACAUGAAUCUGACACGAGUAUGGCUUUACAGCAUCAUGAUUGGAACAUCAGGCCUGUGCGGUCGGGCUUGAUGGACCAAUGGACCGCCAUGUGUGUUGUACUGCUCUGUAAAUCUUGUGCUGGAGGAUUGUUUGUGUCUGGACUUCCAUACAUUGUGAAAGAAUGGACAAAACUAGUUGGGACGUGACUAAAUCUUCUUGAGGCUUCAUCUAUCUUCUUUGCUGGGAAGUCUGUCUAUUGUCAAGAUGACACAAAUUUGAAGAAUCCUGACCUCAGGACGGAAAGAUUGCCCCAUAAGAAAACAAGUACCUAAACCUUGUAAAAAAAAAACAGAAACAGAAAAAAGUGAUGUUGAUACAUUUGACUUUGAGGAAGCCUUGCUAGCCUGGAAAAAUGUGAAGGAGAGGAGAAUCUAUGAACAGAAUCAAAGUACUGAAAGUAGCCAAACUGAAGACUGUGAAAGGGAAUUCUCUGUGCAGUAUCGCGACUGACUGCCUGUAGGAACAAUUGACAAAACAGAAAAAAAGUGAUGUUGUAAAAACUGAAGGAUAUGUUCGGGCUUCAUUUGACUUUGAGGAAGCCCUGCUAGCCUGGAAAACUGGAAGGAGAGGAGAAACUAUGAACUGAAUCAAAGUACUGAAAGUGGCCAAACUGAAGACUGUGAAAGGGAAUUUUCUGUGCAGUAUCGCACCUGACUGCUGUAGGAACAAUUGACAAAACAAAACAAAAAGUGAUGUUGAUAAAAACUGAAGGAUAUGAUAGGGCUUCAUUUGACUUUGAGGAAGCCCUGCUAGCCUGGAAAACUGAAGGAGAGGAGAAUCUGUGAACUGAAUCAAAGUACUGAAAGUAGUACAUGUUUAUGUUCCUACAUGUUUAUGUUAUGUUUUUUUCUCUCUUAUAUAUAUAGCUUGUUCUAGUACUAAGGUUAGGAUAAGGUCACUAAGUGAGAUAACACUGGCCAGCUGGUCGGAGCAAUACACCCAUGUGGUAAGGUUGGGGUAGCUGGCUCGCAGUAUCUUUUCAUUUGUGUUCAUUGUAACUUGUAUAUAUAUAAUUUUCUUUUCUUGAAUUUCUGUCUCUGUUUAACAUUUUUGGUUGCUCAAUUUACCAGGUAAGUAAGUUGUAAUGUUAAAGUCUUGUUUUUAUCUUAACAUUGUCUCUAAGCUCCAUCAGGUUCACCAAUAUUGUGCCUGGCGGGGAUACCCCAUAAGUCGGGCGUGUAAUUCUGGGGAAUUAUACCCCCAAUUAAUUAUGUUGUUUUUUGCCUGCCUUAUAACAUUGUAUGUUGUACAUAAUCACAUAAAUUAUAUAUGUUGUUAAUAAAUCUUAGUACCUGUACAUAUAGCAGCAUACAUGAACACAUAACAGC